rnacentral:rRNA from 1 species
GACGAACGCUGGCGGCGUGCUUAACACAUGCAAGUCGAGCGGAAAGGCCCUUCGGGGUACUCGAGCGGCGAACGGGUGAGUAACACGAGAGUAACAUGCCCCUGACUUUGGGAUAACCCUCGGAAACGGGGACUAUAACGGAUACCGAAAAGGUUCGCCUGGUGCCUGGUUGGGAAGGUAUUGGGUUUUCGGUUGGGGAUGGGCUCGCGGCUUAUCAGGUUGUGGGUGGGGUGAUGGCCUACCAAGGCGAUGACGGGUAGCCGGCCUGAGAGGGCGACCGGCCACACUGGGACUGAGACACGGCCCAGACUCCUACGGGAGGCAGCAGUGGGGAAUAUUGCACAAUGGGCGGAAGCCUGAUGCAGCAACGCCGCGUGAGGGAUGACGGCCUUCGGGUUGUAAACCGCUUUCGGCAGGGACGAAGCGUAAGUGACGGUACCGGCAGAAGAAGCACCGGCCAACUACGUG